rnacentral:tRNA from 1 species
GUGUGUGUAGCCCAAUGGUUAUGAUUAUUGCCUUCCAAGCAAUAACCCGGGUUCGAACCCCGGCAAAUGCA